rnacentral:rRNA from 1 species
UUACGGGCAAAACAUUAGAUACCCCAAUAGUCCAGAGCAGACAAUGAUGAGUGCCAUAGGCUAUAUAAAUUAGCUUAUAAAUGAAAGUGUAAGCAUUCCACCUUAAGAGUACGGCGGCAACGCUAAAAAUGAAAUCAUUAGACCGUUUCUGAAACCAGUAGUGAAGUAUGUUAGUUAAUUCGAUGACCCGCGAAUAACCUUACCACGUUUUGAAUAUUAUUUAAUUAAUACAAGCGCUGCACGGCUGUUUUUAGUUAAUGUCGUGAGAUUUUGGCUAACCCCCUUUAAUUAACGAAAACCCUUGUUUUAUUUAUAAAUAAAAUUGUUCACGGCUAGAAUGGCUAAGAUAAUAGGGAUUAAGACAAGUCAUCAUGGCCUUAAUAACGUGGGCUAUAGCGUGGGCGCCACAUAAAAAA